AAGGAGGGGGUUUCCAUCAAAUAAAUCAUCUUCCUCUUUAAAACCUGUCUUCUGAUGAAGAUUUGAAAUAGCUUCCUGUAGGAAGCUAUUUUUGCCUUAACAGCUAACAAAGUGCCAGCUCGCAAACCUGAAAAUGCUAUCUGUCUUGCUUACUGAACUCUAAAAUAUCACUUCUAACUCUAAAUGUUUAUGGAACUCUAAAUCUAAAACACAGAUAGGCAUCAGGCCUAACUGGCUGGAUAGGUAAUCAGGCGAUAGAAGGGUUAAUGAUAUUUGUAUGGCUUGUUCUUUUCAUUUAUGCCUUCAUUUACUAUCUUGUAAAUGAUCUAGUCUAAAUGGAUCUUCAAACAGGUAUAGCAAUGAUUCUGUUACUUCUUGUCAAUUUGGCAUUGGACAAACCUCUCAGUCCUGCAGUCAUCUGACCUGAAGGCAGUGUUCAUUGAUUACAAAUGUAUUACCGGUUGAGCUUCUUUUAACUAGGAUUCUAAUAUACCUCCCAGAGCCCCCGGUGGCGCAGUGGGUUGAACCCUUGUGCCGGCAGGACUGCUGAUCUGAAGGUUGGGUUGGUGAACUGAAGGUUGCUGGUUCGAAUCCAACCCGGGAAAAGCACGGAUGAGCUCCCUCUAUCAGUUCCUGCUCCACAAGGAUGGUAAAAAUAUCAAAACAUUCUGACAUUCCUUGGACAAAGAAAAGAUGCUAAUGGAUGAUAUUAGGCCACAGGAACUCUCCUCCAGUACCACAUGUCAAAGAAGUUGAUUUUCUUCACUGCCCAACAUUCACAACCAGACAUAGAAGGAGCAAUGGCUGCACCACAAACUGGAAUCCCUGGAACACAGAAGCAGAAAUGAUUUGGUUUCACUACAUAGGAUUCCAGGGAUCUCUUGUGACAAUUCACAAAAAAAAAAAAAAAAAACCAGCAUCUUCUCUCAGUUUCAUUGCACACAUUGACUUGCCUUGAGGCGAUAAAGUGUUUCUUAAGAUUGAAAAAAUCGCCACAUGGAGAGAAUGGUGUGGAAAACUGUUUACGCCUGCUCUGACCUACAGCGAUCUUUUCAAAAGAUAGGUAAUUGAGUCUCUUUGCCAAGCCUCCUGAAUAGAAUCUACCAGCUGUGCCUAAUUGGAGUGACUAAUUUUCCCUAAUAUGAAUCUUCUUAUGUGAUUUUUCUCUUGGCAUUUUUUCCCUUCGUGAAUUGCCAGUCUGACAGAAACAGUGGAAAACGUGCUCUGAACUUAGAAGAAAAGCAAAUGUAAUCGAAGACAGGAGAACAAAAAGACCCUUCCACGUUGUUUCUAAAGCUCAACUCCUCCUCCUGACUUAUUUUAGCUCUGACCUCUACGAGACAGACAGGCGUUCUUUGAGAGAUAAGUCAAGAAAACAACAGGAGCAGGUACAGCAUUUAAAGCUGUCAGGGUGUGAUGUGUUUCUUGCAACCAGAAUCAGUCAUUAUAGUCAGGACAGUGGUAUCAUUGGUACUAGUGGAAAUUGCAUACCAUUUUUCCUGAGUAAAGAUUCUUUAAAUGCCAGUAUGGUGCAGUGGGUUGAACUCCAGACUAUGACCCUGGAGAUCAUGAUUUGCUCAGGGAAACCCAUUGGAUGACAUGGGUCAGGUCCCACUCUCAUAGCCUUAGAGGAAGGCAACGGAGCUAUUGUGCUCUACUUAAAUUGCCCCAUCCCUAAGUUUUCUCUUCUGACAUUGCAUUUUAUCCAUCAGCCCUGCCCCGUAACUGAUCCUUACUACCCUGCCUGCCGAGCCCAGAAACUGUUUACUAUUUUAGAUCACUUGUUAUUGUUGUUAUUUUAUACUGUGCUAUAUUGUUGUUUUAUAUUGUUUUAUUAUGCUUUUAAUGAAUACUAAUAUGCUUAUUUUAACUAUGUCAUUGAAUUUUCCCAUGUGAGCUACCCGAUUCCCUUCGGAGAGUUGGAGGCAAGAUACAAAAAUAAAGGUAUUAUUAUUUUUAUUAUUUUUAUUGACAUAAAGACAUAAUAUGACACAGCAAAUGAGAUAUAUAUGCUGGAUUUUGUAUCACAAAACCACAAGUCGAACACUUCCCAAGUGUUUAGGACUGUGUGAUGUAUUUUCGGAUGACGCGUACAGAUCCCAGUAAGGUGGCCUUUUGCAGUUGACAGAUCGUAAUUUUGUCGAUGUUUAUUGUUUCCAAAUGCCGGCUGAGAUCUUUUGGCAUGGCACCCAGUGUGCCGAUCACUACAGGGACCACCUGCACUGGUUUAUGCCCGAGCUUUUGCAGUUCGAUUUUGAGGCCCUGAUAACUGCUGAGUUUUUCCUGUUGUUUUUUUGUCAAUCCGACUGUCACCUCGUAUGGCGACAUCAAUAAUCCAAACUUUUUUAUUUAUUAUUAUUACUACUACUACUACUACUACUACUAUUACUAUUGUAAACCUUGCUAAGAAAACCCUGUGAUAGGGUUUCUUUAGUUGGAAUGGCUUGAAGACACAAAACAACAGCAACAACCAUUCUUGGCUUGUUAAUAAGAAAAAAUACCAUCUAUUUAAUUCACUCGUCCUGUCUGUCAAUUCACUGUGAAUAUUACUUCAUCUGUCCCUACCAUUUUCCACUGUUAUAGCAGGGCUUCUUAAACUUUUCCACUCAUGACCCCUUUCGGACUGAGACACUUUUACAUGAUCCCAGGUAAGUCAGACAUUUACUGAAAACAAAUCAGUACUUCCGAGGCUUGCUAAACAAACUGAUUUUUCUUUUUAUGAAGUACAUCUGAAGCAUUUUCUGCAGAGUCCCUUGUAAACACUGCAUUUAUGUAAAUGUCAGUGACUAGGUGACAUUCAAAAACCUUUUACUGUUGUUAAAUUUUUCAGGUCCUCAACAUUGAGAUCGGGGGAUUCAAUUUGGGGCCAGGUCCCACAGUUUAAGAAGCAGUGUAUCAUGGCACUGUUAUUUCACAUGAACGGUCCUGGCAAUAUUCUGUGGAUUCUGGAGUUUUUAGUUUAGUGAGGGCAAUAUCCCACAGGCUGAGAAUUCUUAAUUCCCCUCCCUAAACUGCACAUCCCAGAAUUCCAGAAGAUAUUGCCAUGGCAGUUAAAGUGGAAUAAGACAGUCCCCAGAUUACAAACAUCCAACUUAUAAACAACUCAUAGUUAAGAACAUGGGCGAGACAACAGGAGGUAAGAUAAAUCUAUCCCAGGAAGGGAAAUUCAUUCCUGAAAGAGUUGUCAUGGGGAAAAGGUGUCUCUUGUGAAGCUUUAUCACCAAUCCUUGUUUCCACAACAGUCCAAUUUUUUCAAAAUUCAAUUAUCACAGGGACAGAAAGUGAGGUGAAAUCUUCUGAACAUACACACAGGCAACAAAACAAACACCACAGGGUUGUUAAUCCUUCACUGUGCUAUCCAAAGCUUGUGUGUGUGUGUGUGUGUGGAGUUACACUUAAAAAUGUACAUAUUCUGACUUACAUGCAAAUUGAACUUAAGAGCAAACCUACAGAACCUAUUUUGUUUGUAACUUGUGGACUGCUUGUAUAAUGCCAUAGCAGUGUAGUGUGAUAGGACCCACAACCCCCUCAGCAUCAUACUGUCAUGGUGAAAAGAUAAGCAGAGUGGGGUCUAAAGAUCCUUAUAGCCAGAAGCAGCACAGACUUAGGGCUCCCUGUCUCAGAAAAAGUAUAUCUGUGGAUCAGAAAACUUCUUGUCCACUAGCAAUUCCAGUCCUAAUUUAGCAGAACUUGAGAAUGCCACAAUUUCUUUAGAAUGCAAAACUCCCAGGACCCACCACUGGUGCCUACCAACAAGGGCAUAGGCAACAGUGAGAGCCUUCUUGCCCUACAAAGAUGCAGUCUGUUGCUUCACUGCUCAAUCUAGUUUAAGCAGGAAAACCUCAGUGAGGCAAUGUGGGGAAGAGGGUGAUUCUGAACAAUCGAGCAAACCCUCAUCCUCUGAAGCUGCAAGACACUAAAGAAGGAAUAAUAAUAAAAUAAAUAAUAAUAAAACUUUAUUUAUACCCCGCCACCAUCUCCCCAACGGGGACUCGGGGCGGCUUACAUGGGGCCAUGCCCAGAACAGUACAAUAUAGCAAAAUAUAAAACAACAUAUCACAAUACAAUUAAACAAUACAAUAAAUAAUCAUAUACACUGCAACACAAUAUAUAUAUAUAUAUAUAUAUAUAUAUAUAUAUAUAUAUAUAUAUAUAACAGGGCGGGCCGCAUGAGACACUUGAUUAAAACUUGGGGUGAGAAAAGGAUAAGAAUACAAUCAGGGAGACCAGGGACAUAAGAUAAAAACAAUCUAGAGGGUAGAUGAUGGGGGAGUAACAAAAGAAGUGUGUAAUAGUUACUCUCCGAAAGCACAUCGGAAAAGCCAGGUUUUUAAGUCCCACCGUCCACAAUAAAAACCAGGUCCAACGUGUGUCCCGCCUGAUGUGUGGGCCCAGAUAUAACUUGAGUCAGCCCCAUGGUCAUCAUGGCAACCAUGAAAUCCUGAGCUGCACCUGUCAAAGUGGUCUCGGCAUGAAUGUUAAAGUCCCCCAAAACUAUGAGUUGUUGGGAGACCAGGGCCGAAUUGGAGACCACUUCUGCUAGCUCGGACAGAGAGACUGCUGGGUCGCGGGGUGGACGGUACACCAGCAGAAUCCCCAAGCUGUCUCGGGCUCCCACCUUCAGGAAGACACACUCAAACCUCGGAGACUGCAGAACGG
ensembl:lncRNA